GGGUAAAUGAUGAUAAAAUCUAAGGCUUGUUUCUCAAAACAUUCGCAGUGGCCGUCUAAGAGUUUCCCCUUUCGCCGGGGUUGAGACUCAAUGCUGUUUUUAUCCUUCCUUGGAUGUCUGAACCC
rfam:Beta vulgaris subsp. vulgaris chromosome 6, whole genome shotgun sequence.